rnacentral:lncRNA from 1 species
CGUGAUGAUAUUGUAUUGGUGUCAUCUCAUAAUGAUCAUUGUGUUGAUUGAAGGGAUUAUGAAUGUGAUGAUCUAGAUUAGUCCAUUAGGUGGUUGGAGCCUCUUGGCUUUCACUUUGUGAGCAAUGAUAAUUGUAAUGGCUUUGUAGUGUUGAUUCCUAAUUAUACGGCUAGCUCCAAGGAGGUGGAGUCUCAAAGAAAACCCUUUCAAG